GCCCAGCSGUAAACAAUUAACUCACAACAACCAGCGCCUGGAAAUUACGAGCAAUGCUUAAAACCCAAAGGACUUGACGGUGUCCCACCCAACUAGAGRAGCCUGUUCUAUAAUCGAUGAUCCCCGCUAUACCUAACCAUUUCUAGCUAUUCAGUCUGUAUACCUCCGUCGAAAGCUUACCAUGUGAACGAACUUUAGUAGGCCCAAGGACCCCAUCAACACGUCAGGUCAAGGUGCAGCUUACGAGAUGGAAAGUAAUGGGCUACAAUUUCUAAUCUAGAACAAACGAAAUACUGUGUGAAACCACAGUCACGAAGGCGGAUUUAGUAGUAAAAAGAAAAUAGAGAGUUCUUUUUAACCCGGCUCUGGGACGUGUACACACCGCCCGUCACCCUCUUCGACUACAUAACAAAGUUCAUAACCCCAUUUUUUACUCUAGAAGAGGCAAGUCGUAACAUGGUAAGUGUACUGGAAAGUGUACUUGGUAUAUUA
rnacentral:rRNA from 1 species